rnacentral:rRNA from 1 species
AUCCACUAGUAACGGCCGCCAGUGUGCUGGAAUUCGCCCUUGGAUUAGGCAUGCAAGUCGAACGAGAAAUCCGGUUUCGAUCGGAGAGUAAAGUGGCGCAAGGGUGAGUAAUGCGCAGACAACCUGCCCGUUAUUAAGGAAUAACGCCUCGAAAGGGGUGCUAAUACCGAAUGCAGUCGCGAUAACACAUGUUAUGUGACUAAAGGUUGGGCCCGUAAGGGUAGCCGAUAACGGAUGGGUCUGCGUCCUAUUAGCUUGUUGGUAGGGUAACGGCCUACCAAGGCAAAGAUGGGUACGGGGCCUGAGAGGGUGAACCCGCACACUGGGACUGGAACACUGCCCAGACUUCUACGGAAGGCUGCAGUCGAGAAUCAUUCGCAAUGGACGAAAGUCUGACGAUGCGACGUCGCGUGGAGGAAGAAGGCCCUCGGGUUGUAAACUCCUGUCAGGAGUGAAGAACUGCGUCGGUUCCCAAGACCGUCGUUUGACGUAAGCUCCAGAGGAAGCCACGGCUAACUUCGUGCCAGCAGCCGCGGUAAUACGAAGGUGGCUAGCGUUGUUCGGAAUCACUGGGCAUAAAGGGCGUAUAGGCGGUGGAGUGUGUCGGUUGUGAAAUCCCUCGACUUAAUUGAGGAACUGCAUCCGAAACUACUCUGCUUGAGUAUAGAAGGGGAGAGCGGAAUUCCUGGUGGAGCGGUGAAAUGCGUAGAUAUCAGGAGGAACAUCUGUGGCGAAGGCGGCUCUCUAGUCUACUACUGACGCUGAAGCGCGAAAGCCAGGGGAGCAAACGGGAUUAGAUACCCCGGUAGUCCUGGCCGUAAACUUUGGGCACUAAGUAGAGGGAAGGGCGAAUUCUGCAGAUAUCCAUCACACUGGCGGCCGCUCGAGCAUGCAUCUAGA